rnacentral:lncRNA from 1 species
UGCACACCAGUCCGAGAGCCUUUUUUUCUUUCUUUCUUUCUUUCUUUUUUUUAAACCGUGACUUUAUUCAGGUUUCUCGUUGUUGAUUUUCAGGUGCGGAAGUUACCUUCUUCUCAAAGAUGUUGCUUUUCUUUCUGGGUUAGCUUUUAGAAACUGGGUGAGCCGUAUUGUGCAGCCUUGCUCGCAGACUCUCGCUUAAGUGAACRCGUUUGCUAGGGCAGGUGUUUUAUGCUGCUUGGAUUCCUGGAAAUCCCUGAUAAAUUUUUAACAGGUUCUGUUACCAGCUGCAUUUGGAGCUGAGCAACAUUUCCCAGCAUAGUCUGUUGUUCUGCUAAUUCUUAGGGCCUGCGUGCGUAGCUCGUGUAACAGAUGUUUGUAUCUUUAUGUUGUCUUACUUCAGCACCUCCUGCUCCACGAGGUCAACGGCAUUCAGGACAAAUCUAUAAAUUACAGAUGAAGAAUKUAAUGAGUUCUGCUGGAAUCCCUUCUGGCUAGUUGAAAAGUGGUACAGUGCGUCAGAAAUACUGCUUUUCUGGGAAAGCGUGACCCCUUUAUUGAGGAAGAGGUGGCGGUUUCAGAUACUUGUGUGGGAUCGGGAGUCUUCUUGAUCAGAUGUCCUCUGAGACUUGGUUUCCUGUGUGUAAUUUUAAUGGGCCACUGUGAAGUUAAUCAGGCCUGCUCAGAGCAGAGGCAGGACGUUGGUGCUGCUGCUUGUGAUGUGUGCUGGCUGUCAUCCAGCACCUCUGGAAAGCACCAGAAAGGCUCCCAUCGACUUCAGGUAAGGUUAGAGCAGGCCUUAAACCCACAAAGAUCGGUUAGUUCUGCUGUCAUG